GGCCGCCCGGUUUCUUCCAGACGGGAACCCUCCUCCUGUGGGGUAACAGUCUGGCCGGGGGCCCAGUCGUGGGGCGGUGUCUGCAGUCCGGGUCCAGAUCCGCGGCACGCAGAGCCCGGGAGGCCCGAGAGGAACCAGCGGGCAGAGGACUUGGGAAAGGCGCACCGACUUCCCUGCAGGCCUGACUCCGGUCUCCAUGGCGAAAGCAGGCAGGUGGCACAGCCGCGGCUCUCCAUGAGGGAGCAGCUUAGAUUAUAUGCUGUUGGAUUAAAAUGUAAUAAACAUAGGAGUAAAAAAAAAAAAAAAAACUCAGCGUUUCAAGGGUCUGAGGACUCAUCCAGUUCCAAAGAGAAAGAACACUCUCCAUGCCACUGUAAGCCUAGCGUCUGCUUGAACACCUCUGAGGACGGGGAACUCAUUACCUUACAAAGCUGUGCCUUGCCCCUUUUCAGUGUUAUACUUUGAAAACAGAUUUUUAAAAAAAUGAUCGCUUCAUGUUACCGUAUUUUUAUUAAAAUAAGAGAGAGGCCAAUACGGCAAUAGAAGUUGUGCCAGUAUUUUUUGUUUGGUUUUUAAUCUACGAACUUUCUGAACUGUUCAGAAGUCGGGGUUCGCGGGGAAUGCGUGGUCUCGCGCCAUCAGCGAUGACCCUGGGGCGCAGCUCGGGCCCAGGCAACGAGAACUCGGGAGUCUCCGCGGUGAGACCCCAGCUCUCUCCUUCCAGGGUUCUGAAAAUCCCGAGGGGCAGCCCCCAGACCGCUUCCUGGCAGGGCAGAGGCCCAGCCCAGAGGCCCCGCUUCCGCCUGGGAACGCCAACGGCCCAGCUGCCUGGGGAAACAGAAAACGCCUAAAAAGUCGUCUUCGGUAACAGAUCACCAGUCUCUGAGUUUCUUUUACAGGGAGAAGAAAAAAAAUUUUUAAGCCAUGAAAGUUUGGAAAAACAGCAAUUCAACGCGUAGAUCACUCGCUCAAAGACCCCAAACACUUCCUGAUGAGCGGAAUCCAGAGGCGCGGUCAGCACAGGCGAAGCUGAUCCCUCCCCCAAUCCUGCUUAGGAAGUUGUACAAAGUCUUUUGUUUUGGGGGGGAAACAACAAAAGGUAAACAAAAAUGACACUUUGAAAAGGAGAGUCUCUUUGUCUCAGUGGAGUAAAAAGUUCCUGUCCCCAGGGGAAAGCGCCUCGGUCCAGCACGGGUGGCAGGGCCAGUGAGCACCCAGCCGGAGGGAGACCUGUUGAACUUCGCAAAAUUUAAAAAAAUGUAGUCACUGGAAUAGCACCGUAGUUUUGAACACUUCCUCCUGGUAACAAAAUGUGUACUUCUUUUGGUUAUUCUGUGCUCACAUGUGACAUAUCCAAACUGUCUUAUUUAAAAAAAAAUAAUAAUCACCUCUCGCUACAAAGGCACCUGGCACCUGCUCCCAGGCGGGGCGAAGGCCAUGAGCACCUGAGUACUGGGGAGGAUGCCCAGGCAGUUCCUCUGGACUCAGACAUGCUUAGAAAACUCAUCAUUCCACCUGGGACCUUCAGUAUUUUAUAAUAAAG
rnacentral:lncRNA from 10 species